rnacentral:rRNA from 1 species
GACGAACGCUGGCGGCGUGCUUAACACAUGCAAGUCGAACGGAAAGGCCCUGCUUUUGUGGGGUGCUCGAGUGGCGAACGGGUGAGUAACACGUGAGUAACCUGCUCUUGACUUUGGGAUAACUUCAGGAAACUGGGGCUAAUACCGGAUAGGAGCUCCUGCUGCAUGGUGGGGGUUGGAAAGUUUCGGCGGUUGGGGAUGGACUCGCGGCUUAUCAGCUUGUUGGUGGGGUAGUGGCUUACAAAGGCUUUGACGGGUAGCCGGCCUGGGAGGGUGACCGGCCACAUUGGGACUGAGAUACGGCACAGACUACUAAGGGACGCAACAGUCGGGAAUAUUACACGAUGGGAGGAAGCCAGAUGCAGCAACGCCGCGUGCGGGAAGACCGCCUUCGGGUUGUAAACCGCUUUCGCCUGUGAAGAAGCGAGAGUGACGGUAAUGGAUAAAGAAGCACCGGCUAACUACGUG